UGUCCGAUGGUGUAAUUGGCAACACAGCAGAUUUUGGUUCUGUCGUUCCAGGUUCGAGUCCUGGUCGGACAACAA
rnacentral:tRNA from 1 species